GGGCCCUUAGCUCAGUUGGUUAGAGCAGCGGACUCAUAAUCCGCCGGUCGCUGGUUCGAGCCCAGCAGGGCCCA
rnacentral:tRNA from 5 species